CUCAGGCUUUGGAAAUCCAGGGGGUUCUCAGAGCUUAUUUUGUCCAUGGAGGCCUGGUCCCUGGUCCCCGGCUUUCCCAUCUCCAGAAAUUGGACCUCCUGUAACUCCAACCCGGUUGCACGGAGGCGCGCCUGCCGUCGACGCAUGCAGCUGGCUGGUGCGGCUCUUCAUUGAAACGGAGCACCUGCCCGGUUUUGUGCCUUUGCAUAAUGAGGACACGUAGCAUAUUCGAAGUGGAGGUGGCCUGAUUCUCUGCCCCUGGGGCUAAUGCGGCUGUUUAUACGGAGGAGCCAAGGCCGAUCCUUCAACCGGAAGGUGCGCUGUCCUGCAGGCUGAAGCAUUCACACCGGCCCUGCUGCUGAUUUGAAACCAUGUUCAGCAGUAACCACCGGCUAAGGCUCUGGAAGACAAACUCCUCCUAGUAGCGUGUCUCAUCCUACGUGUAGGACGGAGGCCACAGGAGCAGAGAUGUGCUUCUUGCCCCAGUUGCUCCUUUGGGCACAAGGAUGGAUGGCCUCUGCGAGUUACAUCCUGAUGACCUAGGGGUGUUACAGUCACGAUGGCACCAUAUGCAUCGCUGUGAACUAACGAGGACAGAGCAAAGGCUGGCCCAGGGAUGCCCCCUUAGCAGGUGAGGGCCAUGCUAUGUGAGCAGAAACUUGGUAGAGACGAGUGGUGGGGCCUCGUCCCACGCACACAGUAGGGCCAGGAGAAUCUCACGGGAUCUGGCUGUGCUGUGGCAGGUAGCCAUGCGUGCCGGGGUCAGGUGCAAAUCCAGUAUGAGAAAGGCUGCGUGAUUUUUCAUGUUAGAUUAAUGUUGUUAAUUCACUUCUGGUUUUAGGGCUUAUUUCUUAAUCUGUAAUGGUGUUUUUGUUUGCCAUCAGAUAUAAACGAUAAGCAGGGGACAUUUAUACUUCCUUUGGUUUGUAUAGAUGUAAGCAACAUUCAAAUAUAAUAAGGUAAUAUCGGGGGCCUGUGGAAAUCUGCUUUAAGGGGGUCCUAGGCUCUUCUGAGUUUGGGGAAUUAUAGCAUCUGCUCUGUAGAAGCUGGUUUUAUGUGCCCUGAUUUGGGUCCACAGAUCUCCCCACCCCCACCUCCUUGGUAUGUGGGAGGUUUGGGGGCAAUCCCAGCAAGCCCCAGGCUGGACAGCAUUGAGGGAGCUUAUCUGACACUGGCCUAUCCUCUGCCCCUUGGGUUGAAACAGAAGUUAUCUUUGAAGAUUUUUUAGGCAAUAAUUAACUGUAAUUUCAGGGGAAGGAGAUUUGGUCAGUUUCUACACAGUGCAAAUUGGCCUUCCCUAUCUGUCUUGGAGGGAGCUUUGUGUUCAACUCUGUUAUCGGGCGCUUUCCUGGAAGCAUUGUUUCCCAUUUCAAUAUAAUUGCUUCAAAAUAAUGUGAAGAGAUCAAUUGCCACUUGUCAGCUAUAAUUUUCUGCCACUGAAAAAAAGUAAUGUGGGAGGAAAGCAAACUAUAAGAUGCCUUAUUAACCACAACAGAGGGAGGGGUGAAGCUGCCUCUUCCUCCGAGAGGGGCUCAUCUGUGAGUGCCCCAUCCGUUCACCUUGUGUCCCUGCGGCCCUCCCCACCUCGAACCUACGCCUGCGGCUUCUCUUCCUGGCCAGAUCCUGCCCGUCCUUCCAGGGCCAGCUCUAAUUCCAGGCCCCAAACAUCAUCCAGACCUCUCCUUCCUCCCCGAUCCUUGGUUUACCCAACUCUUAAUGCAUUUAUUUGACAAAUACUGAUUGAGCACCGACGUAUAUGUGGGAAGGCUUUGGGCAGCAACAAGACACAAACCUCAGGGUUUAGACAAAGAAGUGUUGAUUUUCCUCAACAAAAGGUGUCUGUGGACAGAUUGGGAGUCAACCUCUCAGGAUCUCUGGUGGCCUUCCAACAGACGUGGCCCCCCUGGUUAUUCCCAACCCAGCCUCUGGGCACCAAAUCUUCAUUUGAAGCAGGAAGAGGGGGGAACAGAGGUGUCUUCCACGAAGGUCCCUUUGGUUGGGAAUCCCAGCAUUUCUCAGGACUCUUGGCAGAGUUUGUAAAUCAGCUUCCUUGAGGUAUGAUUGACACAGCAAACUGUACGUAUGUGACCUGUACCUUUUGAUCAGUUUUGAGAAGCGUAAACACGUGGAACUAUCAUCAUGAUCAAGAUGGCGAGUGUAUCCUCUUCCCCAACAAAAUCUUUUCCAGAAGCUUACCACCCACUCUGAAGAUUUAGACAUUUUUUGUUUCUGUUUCGUUGGCCAAACUUGGUCCUAGGGCCACUCCUAACUGCAAAGGAAGCUGGGAAUACAGUGCUUUGGUUUCCAGAAGACAAGGGAAAGGGGAUAGAGUGCCAAUGUUGGGCCAGCUAAUGAGUCCUGUCUGCCCAACCUACCGUUCCAAAUGGAGAAAAGACUUGUCACGCAGCUGGUGGUCAGUGCUCUCAGACUCUUACUUGGCAUGACCUGGCUGUAUCAGUGCUCCAAUGUUAUAGUAAACGGCCAGGCUGCUCUGCACUCUUCCCUUGAACUUAAAAUUAAAAGAACAGAUUCCCUCCUUUGCCCCAGUUGCCUACCCAUCUACCCAAGCUAAGAUGAAGGAAGGGAACUGAAUCAAUGUUCACCGUGUACUUCCUAUACUGGAUGUUUCCUGGGUGUCCCAUCCUUUCGACGACUCUGUGUACAUGGCGUGGGAAGUGUGAGUUCUCUCAUCUUUUACCAAAUGAGGGAAUUGAGACCCAGAAGCGGCUCGCGUGGAAUGGCACAGCUCAUAAGUCAGCAAGCCACGGGCACGGCCAGCCCAAGACUGUCACCUGUUCUCUUUCUUUCCAAAGGAAUCCAUGCAGCAGGCUUGGAAUGACAUAGAAGGUGUGGAUUCAUGGUCUGACUCCCUCAGGCUCAGAGAGGUGAGGUGACCUGCCCCAAGUCUGCAGCUAGAGAGAAGCAAAUCUGGAAUCAGAGUCCUCAUCUGCUGGUCUCCUGGUCGUUGUUUGUUCUGCAGUGCCCAGCACCUGGCUGUGGUGUCAAUGGGGGAAAAAGGCCAAGGAAGGGCAGGAAGCAGUGACCAAUCCCAGGGAAAGAGGACUCCAAUAUUCAGCAUAACUUGGCGCUUUGAACUGGCUGCAGGCCCUCACGAGCCCUUCCCACCCCACAGGUCCCCCCUCCCUCUCUAACGCAGGGAUCACUCAGCACCUCCCGAAGGCCACUGAUGCUGGGCUGGUUCCUGACACUGCUUCUGGAGGAUCUGCAGUGCAGACGUUAGGAGUGGGAACAGACUCCCUGAACUGGAAUCUUGACUGGCUGUGUGAGCUUGGGCAAGGCAUACAACCUCUCUGUGCCCGUUUCUCCACCCAUGAAAUGGGGACGAUUGUCCCACUGCUUCUGUGGGUCUGCUGUCUCAUUGGAGGUAGCAACGUGUUCCUGGUGUGUCACCCACAGUCAGUACGGGUGAGCCAUGGCGGGGAGCAUGGAGGGUAAGAACUGGGGGUGCAGGGUAAGACCCCACUCAUCUCCACAGAAGGCCAGGUCCAUACAUUCAGGCACCCUCAGGUGACUUUCCCAGGCUGUCCCCAACCUGUUGAUGCAAAACCCUGUUUGUGACACCUGCCCAGGGAGACCUGACCACCUGGGGCUUCUGGUCAUGAUCAGUCAGCAUUGUGCCAACCUACUUUAGUCCUGAGUCUGAGAAUUUGGGACACUACACUCAGAAGGGUGGAGGCACCCCUGAGCUUUGGGAUAAGAGUUUAUUGCUAGUGAUUGUACUUACCCAUCCACUAGGGGCCUUUCCUUUCUUUUUCUUUCUUUUCUUUUCCUUUCUUUUCUUUUCUUUUCUUUCUUUUCUUUUCUUUUCUUUUCUUUUCUUUUCUUUUCUUUUCUUUCUCUUUCUUUCUUUCUUUCUUUCUUUCUUUCUUUCUUUCUUUCUUUUUUCUUUCUUUCUUUCUUUCUUUCUUUCUUUCUUUCUUUCUUUCUAAAUUUUAUUUUACUUAAAUUCAAUUAACACCGGGGUCUUUUACAGAGAGUGCAAGAUUCUCAAAGAAGACAAGGCCCUAGAGGAGAGGCCGUGGGAAAUGCUUGCAGAGGCAAGAAAUUGUCCUUCCUGGGAACUGUCAAGAGAUCUCAAAGCAGGGAAACCCUCCAGACUGGUCAAUCCUGCCUUCUCAAUAAACAUAUCAAGUAGGUUUCUUGGAGUAAGACCAGGCAUUGAAAGAGAGAAAGAGAGAGAAGAUCCAAAGUCAAAACCAAUUUGAAUAGGUUGCAUGCUGUGAAUCUCCCUGACUGUUCCCGUGACAGGUGACAGCCGGGUAAGCUGCAGGAACCCCUUUAGGGGACCACCUCUCUGGUCCUGGGUGUGGGAACUCUGGUCUCAUCAGCCUCGGGUCAUCAGCUCACUGGUUGCUGGGAGGGGCUCAACAGGGCACGCCGGGUCCUGGCCUUUGUUUUCCCCUCUGGAUAAUGGGGCUGGUCUUCGUGGUGCUCAAAUGGAACCAGGGAGCCUGGAGCAGAGCCCUUAAUGAGGGCCGCUGGAUGAUGAAAGAGCCCUGAAGCUCCAGCCACCAUCCCUGCGCUUUGGAAUAAAUGCGGCCAGCUUGGGGGACGCGCACAAAUAAAUUUGAAUAGCAAGACACAAAUGCGGCCCUUAACUCCGACGAGCAAAUAGAGUUUAAUAAAGAGGUAAACUGAGA